AUUACCCAAUCCUGACACAGGGAGGUAGUGACAAGAAAUAACAAUACAGGGCUAAUGUCUUGUAAUUGGAAUGAUGGUGACCCAAACCCUCACCAGAGUAGCAAUUGGAGGGCAAGUCUGGUGCCAGCAGCCGCGGUAAUUCCAGCUCCAAUAGCGUAUAUUAAACUUGUUGCAGUUAAAAAGCUCGUAGUUGAAUUUUAGCGUGUUCGAGUUUGCCAUUCGUUUGGCUUUUUCGAGUUCGCUUUUGGGUUUUCCCUUUUUACUUUGAGAAAAUUAGAGUGUUUCAAGCAGACUUUUGUCUUGAAUACUUCAGCAUGGAAUAAUAGAGUAGGACUUUGGUUCUAUUUUGUUGGUUAUUGAACCUUAGUAAUGGUUAAUAGGAACGGUUGGGGGCAUUCGUAUUUAA
rnacentral:rRNA from 1 species